rnacentral:rRNA from 1 species
AGGGAUUGCCCUAGUAACGGCGAGUGAAGCGGCAACAGCUCAAAUUUGAAAUCUGGCGUCUUUGGCGUCCGAGUUGUAAUUUGCAGAGGGCGCUUUGGCAUUGGCAGCGGUCCAAGUUCCUUGGAACAGGACGUCACAGAGGGUGAGAAUCCCGUACGUGGUCGCUAGCCUUUACCGUGUAAAGCCCCUUCGACGAGUCGAGUUGUUUGGGAAUGCAGCUCUAAAUGGGAGGUAAAUUUCUUCUAAAGCUAAAUACUGGCCAGAGACCGAUAGCGCACAAGUAGAGUGAUCGAAAGAUGAAAAGCACUUUGGAAAGAGAGUUAAAAAGCACGUGAAAUUGUUGAAAGGGAAGCGCUUGCAGCCAGACUUGCCUGUAGUUGCUCAUCCGGGUUUUUACCCGGUGCACUCUUCUACGGGCAGGCCAGCAUCAGUUUGGGCGGUUGGAUAAAGGUCUCUGUCAUGUACCUCCUCUCGGGGAGAUCUUAUAGGGGAGACGACAUGCAACCAGCCUGGACUGAGGUCCGCGCAUCUGCUAGGAUGCUGGCGUAAUGGCUGUAAGCGGCCCGUCUUGAAACACGGACCAAGGAGUCUAACAUCUAUGCGAGUGUUUGGGUGUCAAGCCCGAACGCGUAAUGAAAGUGAACGGAGGUGGGAACCUUUCGGGGUGCACCAUCGACCGAUCCUGAUGUCUUCGGAUGGAUUUGAGUAAGAGCAUAGCUGUUGGGACCCGAAAGAUGGUGAACUAUGCUUGAAUAGGGUGAAGCCAGAGGAAACUCUGGUGGAGGCUCGCAGCGGUUCUGACGUGCAAAUCGAUCGUCAAAUUUGGGCAUAGGGGCGAAAGACUAAUCGAACU